rnacentral:tRNA from 1 species
GCUGUUUUAGCUCAGAAGGGUAGAGCGACGAGCAUCUCGUUGUCGAAGGUUCGAUUCCUUCAUUCAGCA